rnacentral:rRNA from 1 species
AUACGGAAGGUCCGGGCGUUAUCCGGAUUUAUUGGGUUUAAAGGGAGCGCAGGCGGGGAUGCAAGCGUGACGUCAAAUUUCGGGGCUCAACCCCGUCUCGCGUCGCGAACUGCGUCCCUUGGUUGCGGGAAGGGGAGGCGGAACUCGUGGUGUAGCGGGGAAAUGCAUAGAUAUCACGAAGAACUCCGAUCGCGAAGGCAGCCUUCCGGCCCGUCAACGACGCUCAUGCUCGAAGGUGCGGGUAUCAAACAGGAUUAGAUACCCUGGUAGUCCGCACAGUAAACGAUGGACACCCGCGGUUUGGCCUGUAUGGCUGAGCCGCCAAGCGAAAGCGUUAAGUGUCCCACCUGGGGAGUACGCCGGCAACGGUGAAACUUAAAGGAAUUGACGGGG